CACGUAGGGUGCGAGCGUUGUCCGGAAUUAUUGGGCGUAAAGAGCUCGUAGGCGGUGUGUCGCGUCUGCCGUGAAAACCCGCAGCUCAACUGCGGGCUUGCGGUUGAUACGGGCGGGCUGGAGUUCGGUAGGGGAGACUGGAAUUCCUGGUGUAGCGGUGAAAUGCGCAGAUAUCAGGAGGAACACCGGUGGCGAAGGCGGGUCUCUGGGCCGAUACUGACGCUGAGGAGCGAAAGCGUGGGGAGCGAACAGG
rnacentral:rRNA from 1 species